rfam:Schistosoma rodhaini strain Burundi genome assembly, scaffold: SROB_scaffold0001121
AUUCAACAGAUGAGUUCCAAAUAGGACGAAGUAGUGUACAUCCUGGAU